rnacentral:rRNA from 1 species
UACCUACGGGGGGCAGCAGUAGGGAAUCUUCCACAAUGGGCGAAAGCCUGAUGGAGCAACGCCGCGUGGGUGAAGAAGGUCUUCGGAUCGUAAAACCCUGUUGUUAGAGAAGAAAGUGCGUGAGAGUAACUGUUCACGUUUCGACGGUAUCUAACCAGAAAGCCACGGCUAACUACGUGCCAGCGGCCGCAGUAAUACGUAGGUGGCAAGCGUUAUCCGGAUUUAUUGGGCGUAAAGGGAACGCAGGCGGUCUUCUAAGUCUGAUGUGAAAGCCUUCGGCUUAAACGGCGUAGUGCAUUGGAAAC